CAGCAAAACUAGACUACGAGAAGGAGAACUCAACGAGAGGAUAGCACUGGCCGGUGGUGUCGCUGUCAUUCAGGUGGGAGGACGAACAUAAACUGAACUUAAAGAGAGGUUGGGAGUUGAGGAUGCUCUAAUGUAACUAGGUGGGUGUCAAUGACAGCAUUGUUACCGAGAAGAUCAUUCGGUGGUGGUGACCCAUAUGAUGGCCAUUCGCUCCGGCCAUUCCAGUUUUGGUGGUGGUGGUGCUGCUGCUCCUAUGAUGGUAGACUCGUCUGAUUUCCCUAGCCGCAUCCAUGGUGAUGAAGCUCGGCCUAGGCUAGAACC